UACGUAGGCAGCAAGCGUUGUUCGGAGUUACUGGGCGUAAAGGGUGCGUAGGUGGCUCUAUAAGUAUGGUGUGAAAAUCCUCCCCGGCUUAACUGGGAGGGUGCGCCGUAGACUGUGGGGCUAGGAGUGUGGGAGAGGAAAGUGGAAUUCCUGGUGUAGCGGUGAAAUGCGUAGAUAUCAGGAGGAACACCGGUGGUGUAAACGGCUUUCUGGACCAUAACUGACACUGGAGGCACGAAAAGCGUGGGUAGCAAACAGG
rnacentral:rRNA from 1 species